rnacentral:rRNA from 1 species
GUGAGGAAUUUUGCACAAUGGGCGAAAGCCUGAUGCAGCGACGCCGCGUGAAGGACGAAGGCCUUCGGGUUGUAAACUUCUUUUAUAGGGGAAGAUAAUGACGGUACCCUAUGAAUAAGCCACGGCUAACUCUGUGCCAGCAGCCGCGGUAAGACAGAGGUGGCAAGCGUUGUUCGGAAUUACUGGGCUUAAAGGGCGCGUAGGCGGUAUUAUAAGUCCGGGGUGGAAUCCUGUGGCUCAACCACAGAAUUGCCUCGGAAACUGUAGUACUUGAGUCAGUGAGAGGAGGGCGGAAUUCCUGGUGUAGCAGUGAAAUGCGUAGAUAUCAGGAGGAAGGCCCGUGGCGAAGGCGGCCCUCUGGCGCUUGACUGACGCUGAGGCGCGAAAGCGUGGGGAGCAAACAGGAUUAGAAACCCUUGUAGUCC